GACGAACGCUGGCGGCGUGCUUAACACAUGCAAGUCGAACGGAAAGGCCCUGCUUUUGUGGGGUGCUCGAGUGGCGAACGGGUGAGUAACACGUGAGUAACCUGCCCUUGACUUUGGGAUAACUUCAGGAAACUGGGGCUAAUACCGGAUAGGAUCUCCUGCUGCAUGGGGGGGGUUGGAAAGUUUCGGCGGUGGGGGAUGGACUCGCGGCUUAUCAGCUUGUUGGUGGGGUAGUGGCUUACCAAGGCUUUGACGGGUAGCCGGCCUGAGAGGGUGACCGGCCACAUUGGGACUGAGAUACGGCCCAGACUCGUACGGGAGGCAGCAGUGGGGAAUAUUGCACAAUGGGCGGAAGCCUGAUGCAGCAACGCCGCGUGCGGGAUGCCGGCCUUCGGGUUGUAAACCGCUUUCGAAUGUGACGAAGCGUGAGUGACGGUAAUGGGUAAAGAAGCACCGGCUAACUACGUG
rnacentral:rRNA from 1 species